rnacentral:rRNA from 1 species
UUAGAGUUUGAUCCUGGCUCAGGAUGAACGCUAGCGGCAGGCUUAACACAUGCAAGUCGAGGGGCAGCGAGGGUAAUAGCAAUAUUACCUGUCGGCGACCGGCGCACGGGUGCGUAACGCGUAUGCAACCUACCAUCAACAGGGGGAUAACACUGAGAAAUUGGUACUAAUACCCCAUAAUAUCUCAUGCGGCAUCGCAUGGGGUUGAAAACUCCGGUGGUUGAUGAUGGGCAUGCGUUGUAUUAGCUGGUUGGUGAGGUAACGGCUCACCAAGGCGACGAUACAUAGGGGGACUGAGAGGUUAACCCCCCACAUUGGUACUGAGACACGGACCAAACUCCUACGGGAGGCAGCAGUGAGGAAUAUUGGUCAAUGGACGCAAGUCUGAACCAGCCAUGCCGCGUGCAGGAUGACGGCUCUAUGAGUUGUAAACUGCUUUUGUACGAGGGUAAACCCCGAUACGUGUAUUGGGUUGAAAGUAUCGUACGAAUAAGGAUCGGCUAACUCCGUGCCAGCAGCCGCGGUAAUACGGAGGAUCCGAGCGUUAUCCGGAUUUAUUGGGUUUAAAGGGUGCGUAGGCGGUUUGAUAAGUUAGAGGUGAAAUGUCGGGGCUCAACCCCGAAACUGCCUCUAAUACUGUUGGACUAGAGAAUAGUUGCGGUAGGCGGAAUGUAUGGUGUAGCGGUGAAAUGCUUAGAGAUCAUACAGAACACCGAUUGCGAAGGCAGCUUACCAAACUAUAUCUGACGUUGAGGCACGAAAGCGUGGGUAGCAAACAGGAUUAGAUACCCUGGUAGUCCACGCAGUAAACGAUGAUAACUCGUUGUCGGCGAUACACAGUCGGUGACUAAGCGAAAGCGACAAGUUAUCCACCUGGGGAGUACGUUCGCAAGAAUGAAACUCAAAGGAAUUGACGGGGGCCCGCACAAGCGGAGGAACAUGUGGUUUAAUUCGAUGAUACGCGAGGAGCCUUACCCGGGCUUGAAAGUUAGCGACGACGCUUGAAAGAGCGUUUCCCUUCGGGGCGCGAAACUAGGUGCUGCAUGGUUGUCGUCAGCUCGUGCCGUGAGGUGUCGGGUUAAGCCCCAUAACGAGCGCAACCCCUACUGUUAGUUGCCAUCAGGUGAUGCUGGGCACUCUAGCGGGACUGCCGGUGUAAGCCGAGAGGAAGGUGGGGAUGACGUCAAAUCAGCACGGCCCUUACGUCCGGGGCCACACACGUGUUACAAUGGUAGGUACAGAGGGCAGCUACCCUGCGAAGGGGUGCGAAUCUCGAAAGCCUAUCUCAGUUCGGAUUGGAGGCUGAAACCCGCCUCCAUGAAGUUGGAUUCGCUAGUAAUCGCGCAUCAGCCAUGGCGCGGUGAAUACGUUCCCGGGCCUUGCACUCACCGCCCGUCAAG